AACAGAUUGCUAACCCACCCCCAGAUUUUCAGAUUUUAUUUUAUUUAUUUAUUUAUUUUUUUAUCUGACUGAUUUUCAGAUUUUAAAAAUCUAUCCCUAGAUUUUCUGGGGUAGAGUUUGAAAAUUUGUGUUUCUAACAAGCUCCCAGAUGACGCUGCUGCUACUGCUUCAGGGACCACAUUUCAAGAACCAUUGAUAUAACUCUAAACCAUUCUUGUCUUCUUCCUAUGUAUUUUCCACAUCAGUCAAAGUGAUCUUUUCAAACCAUAAAUCUGGUCAUUCUACUGCAUAGUUUUGAAAUCCAUUGUCUUCCCAUUGCUUUUAGGACAAGUCAAAAUCCUAGAAGUCCCUACACAGUCCCCUCCUAGCCUACUCGUUCAGUGACAUCUCACACUAAUGCUGCCCCUACCCUCAACCCACUCUUCGCUGCACCAGCCACCAUGGUCACCUUUCAGUUCCUCAAAUUUAUCAAGCUCCACCCUUCCCCAAGGUCUUUCCACAUACUGUUUCUUCCACCAAGAUGUUCUCCCUACCCCCAAGCCCUCCCUGACCACAAUUUUGCUCGGUUAAUUCCUACUUCUCCUCCUUGUGCAAUGCGGGAUUGGUUAUUAGGAUCUUAACUUAAAUGUCACUUUCCUAAGGAAGCCUUUUCUAACUGCCUCAGCCAAGACAGAUGUCUCUGGUUUCCUAACUAGAGCCUUUAAUUAUACAUUUGUUUAAUGAUUAUUUGAGCUACUUACUCUACUAACUGGUAAGCAUCAUAAGAGCACAGACCAUGUUUUUGUUUGCUCACAACUGUAUCCCUGUGCCCUGUACACAUGAAUAUUUGGUAAAUGAAUGAUUGAUUCUGGAAUAUUUGGUUGAAGACCACUAGUGGACUUAGGAGUUCUUCCCAAAGAACUGCACUUUGAUCUGAAAGCUCAAAUUUCUUCAGUUCUCCUUUUACCAGUACUUACAGGUGAAUCGUCUGCAGCUCCAUGGACUUUUCUUCUCAUAAACCUUAGUAUUUCUUAUUUGUAGACUUACUAAGUGUAUUAAGGUUUAAUAAAAUUCAAUAUGGCGCAUUGUUUUAGUAUAUAUAAAAUCAUGUGUUUGAGCUCAUAUUCUUUAUUUUUUUUUCUUUUGAGAUGGAGUUUCGCUCUUGUUGCCCAAGCUGGAGUGCAAUGUCAUAGUCUCGGCUCACUGCAACCUCCACCUCCCGGGUUCAAGCAACUCUCCUGCUUCAGCCUCCCAAGUAGCCGAGAUUACAGGCGUGCACCACCAUGCCCAGCUAAUUUUUUGUAUUUUUAGCCUGGCCAACAUGGUAAAACGACAUCUCUAUAAAAAUACAAAAUUAGCUGAGCUUGAUGGCGGGCGCCUGUAAUCCCAGCUACUCAGGAGGUUGAGGCAGGACAAAUUGCUUGAAUACAGGAGGCAGAGGUUGCAGUAAGCCGAGAUCACACCACUGCACUCCAGCCUGGGCAACAGAGUAAGACUCUGUCUCAAAAAAAAAUCGUAAAAUAAAAUAAAUAGAUACCUUCCUUAUUUCUAACUCCACGCGUCCACUCAUCCACUGGAGGCCAUACUUUAUGACUAUGGCCACCAUUUUGAGUUUUUGUAACAUUGAGAUAUUUGGAAAUUUCAUGAACUCUACCUUCUAGAAGAUUUUCCCACAGAACAGCAUUUAAGAGUCCCCACUCAGUCCUCAAGCAUACGUCAAUUUUUGGCUCACCAUACUCAGACUUGAGUGCCAAAGCCCACAGGCCUACACUUCUGUCUUUGAACAUGCUC
rnacentral:lncRNA from 10 species